rnacentral:lncRNA from 10 species
CUGUACCUCACUUCUUUUUUCUGUAUGUCACUUUCCUUUUCUCUCCAUAAAUCUUCUUCCCCCAUGUGGCUCUGCUGGAGUCUCUGAGCCUAUUCUGGCUCAGGAGGCUGCCCAAUUCAGGAAUCGUUCAUUGCUCAGUUAAACUAUUUUAAAUUUAAUUCAGCUGAAGUUUUUCUUUUAUCAGAUGGUGUCAGAAGUGGGAUCCGAAGUAGAGCUUCUAACAUCCCCUAGGAGCACUGAGUGACCAAGUGAGGAACUCUCUGGACUGAUUGUGUCCAUUGAUCUCUUGGAGCAGCUGGGGAUUGUGCUUCAAAAUCAUCUUUUCUGACCUCUAACUUUGGGAUACUACAGAGGGCCCCUGAAGCACCAAAAAGAGAGAACCUGAAGAUUGGAUCUUCUGGGAACAUCAGAGAAAGCCUGCCCUUGCCAUCCACACUGCAGCAAAACUUCGGGACCUUGAACCUUGUGUUCAUAAUCUCACAACUGAGAAGGGUCCUUCCACACUCUUGGAACUGUACAUCCACUGGAACUCUUUAGGUAAAGCUAACCAGGAAAGUUUCUCCCCAGAAGAAGACGGCAUACUUGAUGUGAAGAGCUUUUUCCAAGAUCACAGAUCAUGACUUCUCUACUAUCAUGAGACUCUUAUCUUUGGAUAUUUUUUUCUCCUUGGUUAUGCUUCUGUGGACAACAGAAGUGAAAGAGGGGUCUGUUGUGUGCACUCAUGGGUUAUACUUUUAUUUGUGAAGGAUUUUGCAGCCAGCCUUAUACAUGGAUAACCUCAUACCUUGAUAGAUGAAAAAUUAAGGCCCAAUGUAGAUGAAAAACUAAUGGUACAUGUGUUGCUUUGUAAUCAGUCAGAAACAGAACAUCGGUUCACUUCUCUUAAUCCAUAUCAUGGGUUAAAGAGAACAUUGCUAGGAGGCCUUCACUCUUCUAGAAGGGCAUCAUUUGCUAGGUCCCUUUUCCAUGAUUUGGAAUAAAAGAGGCAAUGAUUAGAAAUGUAUCCCUCAUGAAAGGCUUUAUAGCAGAUUCUACUGUAAAGGCUGUGGUUACACAAUAGACUUUAAAUUCUCUUGUGAAAGUUAUGCUAAAUAACAGAAUAGCUCCAGAUUAUUUAGUGGCUAAAUGGAAAAGUAUUUGUGCAGCUGCUGGCAUUUGUGGUCUAUGGAGACAUACAUCAAAUGUAGAUUAUAGAGAUUCAGUUGUAGGGGAUUAAUGAAGAGACUGCUUAGUUAAGUGAGUCAAUUCUUUCUCUAGCUCAUUCUUUGAUGUAUUUAAUUUUAGGUGGUCUGGUUUAGUGGACCCUGGGUAAGGAGCAUACUCCAAACAUGUUGUAUUAUCCUCCUGAUAGUCAUAAUAGUAGUCUCCCUGGUGUGCUGUAUUCCCUCAAAAGUUUUAAAUGUUUGCAUGCAGCCAUCUCAAGAAUGUCAAAUGGUCUCUCUUUAACUGGAAUGACAAGAGCUGAAAGGAGUAUGUGAACAUGAGGGCACCAUAACCUAUGAAUAAUAUGCUGAGACCAGAAACCCAAAAUUGUGGGUGGUGCUAAGGCCCUAAGUUUUGAUCACACUCUCACCUAAGUAAGAACCUGAUCAAAAAGGGGGAAUUUUUUAAAGCAAAAUUAUGGGAGGCCAUUGUUUUGAGAGCUUGUUUGGAGGUUCUAGUAGAAGGGAAAUGUGAGGUGGGACCCCCCAAACACAGAGUCCCUACUGGGGCACCACCUAGUGGAGCUGUGAGAGGAGGGCCACUGUCCUCCAGACCCCAGAAUGGUAGAUCCACUGACAGCUUGUACUGUGUGCCUGGAAAAGCCAUAGACAUGCAAGACCAGCCCAUGAAAGCAGUCGGGAGGGAGGCUGUACCCUGCAGAGCCACAGGGGCAAAGCUGCCCAAGAUCAUGGGAACCCACCUCUUAUAUCAGCGUGACUUGGAUGUGAGACAUGGAGUCAAAGGAGAUCAUUUUGGAGCUUUAAGAUUUUCCUGGUAGACUGAGCCAAGAUGGCCGAAAAGGAACAGCUCUGG